GCACCCCAGUUUCUAUCAAGUAUCUGAAAGAAGAACAUAUUACUAUAUUACCAAAAAUGGAAAGUAAACAGUGUGGAGCAAUAGGAGAGAGAACUAGUUUUGAAUUGAAAUUAGAGUAGAUUAAACUACAUUUAAUAAGGAAAGUUAUUAAAUAAGGAAAAUUACCUAAAUAACUGAAUUACGUCCACCUUUAACAAGUAAAUUACCUAAAUAAGGCUACACAUUGUAAAUGUUUUACCAUGUGUCACAAUCUUCAUGCUUCGUCGUAGCACGAUGAAAUAUGUGAUAAAAAUUAAUAUUAUGUACAUCCACCUUCAUCUCUAAUAUCUUUGAAUCCACUCUAUCAAAACUCAAUUUU
rnacentral:lncRNA from 1 species